rnacentral:rRNA from 1 species
AACCUGGUUGAUCCUGCCAGUAGUCAUAUGCUUGUCUCAAAGAUUAAGCCAUGCAUGUCUAAGUAUAAACAUUUUAUACUGUGAAACUGCGAAUGGCUCAUUAAAUCAGUUAUAGUUUAUUUGAUGGUACCUUACUACUCGGAUACCCGUAGUAAUUCUAGAGCUAAUACGUGCGUAACUCCCGACUUCUGGAAGGGAUGUAUUUAUUAGAUAAAAGACCGACCGGGCUGCCCGU